rnacentral:rRNA from 1 species
UACAGAGGUCCCAAGCGUUGUUCGGAUUCAUUGGGCGUAAAGGGUGCGUAGGCGGCGCGGUAAGUCGGGUGUGAAAUCUCGGAGCUUAACUCCGAAACUGCAUUCGAUACUGCCGUGCUUGAGGACUGGAGAGGAGACUGGAAUUUACGGUGUAGCGGUGAAAUGCGUAGAUAUCGUAAGGAAGACCAGUGGCGAAGGCGGGUCUCUGGACAGUUCCUGGACGCUGAGGCACGAAGGCCAGGGGAGCAAACGGG